rnacentral:rRNA from 1 species
UGGGGAAUAUUGGACAAUGGGGGGAACCCUGAUCCAGCCAUGCCGCGUGUGUGAAGAAGGCCUUAUGGUUGUAAAGCACUUUAAGCGAGGAGGAGGGUACUGGUAUUAAUACUACCAGGUACUGGACGUUACUCGCAGAAUAAGCACCGGCUAACUCUGUGCCAGCAGCCGCGGUAAUACAGAGGGUGCGAGCGUUAAUCGGAUUUACUGGGCGUAAAGCGUGCGUAGGCGGCUAAUUGAGUCGGAUGUGAAAUCCCCGAGCUUAACUUGGGAAUUGCAUUCGAUACUGGUUAGCUAGAGUGUGGGAGAGGAUGGUAGAAUUCCAGGUGUAGCGGAGAAAUGCGUAGAGAUCUGGAGGAAUACCGAUGGCGAAGGCAGCCAUCUGGCCUAACACUGACGCUGAGGUACGAAAGCAGGGGGAGCAAACAGG